UGCAGUCGACGAUGAUGCCCAGCUUGCUGGGCGGAUUAGUGGCGAACGGGUGAGUAAUACGUGAGUAACCUGCCCUUGACUCUGGGAUAAGCCUGGGAAACUGGGUCUAAUACUGGAUACUACUUCCUGCCGCAUGGUGGGUGGUGGAAAGGGUUUUACUGGUUUUGGAUGGGCUCACGGCCUAUCAGCUUGUUGGUGGGGUAAUGGCUCACCAAGGCGACGACGGGUAGCCGGCCUGAGAGGGUGACCGGCCACACUGGGACUGAGACACGGCCCAGACUCCUACGGGAGGCAGCAGUGGGGAAUAUUGCACAAUGGGCGGAAGCCUGAUGCAGCGACGCCGCGUGAGGGAUGACGGCCUUCGGGUUGUAAACCUCUUUCAGUAGGGAAGAAGCGAGAGUGACGGUACCUGCAGAAGAAGCGCCGGCUAACUACGUGCCAGCAGCCGCGGUAAUACGUAGGGCGCAAGCGUUGUCCGGAAUUAUUGGGCGUAAAGAGCUCGUAGGCGGUUUGUCGCGUCUGCUGUGAAAGCCCGGGGCUCAACCCCGGGUCUGCAGUGGGUACGGGCAGACUAGAGUGCAGUAGGGGAGACUGGAAUUCCUGGUGUAGCGGUGAAAUGCGCAGAUAUCAGGAGGAACACCGAUGGCGAAGGCAGGUCUCUGGGCUGUUACUGACGCUGAGGAGCGAAAGCAUGGGGAGCGAACAGGAUUAGAUACCCUGGUAGUCCAUGCCGUAAACGUUGGGCACUAGGUGUGGGGGACAUUCCACGUUUUCCGCGCCGUAGCUAACGCAUUAAGUGCCCCGCCUGGGGAGUACGGCCGCAAGGCUAAAACUCAAAGGAAUUGACGGGGGCCCGCACAAGCGGCGGAGCAUGCGGAUUAAUUCGAUGCAACGCGAAGAACCUUACCAAGGCUUGACAUUCACCGGACCGCCUCAGAGAUGGGGUUUCCCUUCGGGGCUGGUGGACAGGUGGUGCAUGGUUGUCGUCAGCUCGUGUCGUGAGAUGUUGGGUUAAGUCCCGCAACGAGCGCAACCCUCGUUCUAUGUUGCCAGCACGUGAUGGUGGGGACUCAUAGGAGACUGCCGGGGUCAACUCGGAGGAAGGUGGGGAUGACGUCAAAUCAUCAUGCCCCUUAUGUCUUGGGCUUCACGCAUGCUACAAUGGCCGGUACAAAGGGUUGCGAUACUGUGAGGUGGAGCUAAUCCCAAAAAGCCGGUCUCAGUUCGGAUUGAGGUCUGCAACUCGACCUCAUGAAGUCGGAGUCGCUAGUAAUCGCAGAUCAGCAACGCUGCGGUGAAUACGUUCCCGGGCCUUGUACACACCGCCCGUCAAGUCACGAAAGUUGGUAACACCCGAAGCCGGUGGCCUAACCCC
rnacentral:rRNA from 1 species